GGCUACGGCCACGCACAUGGCGACGGUGGCGGCGUCUACAGGAACGGGCCGCGGGGCGGCGCCAUUGGGCGGGGACGAGGAGGACGCGGCUUCCGCGGUGGCGGCCGGGGCCAGAGGCAGUGGGAGGAGGAUGGCCAGGCCAGCCGAGGUUAUCAAGGAGGCGGCCGAGGACGGCAGCAGUGGGACGAUAACGUACCCCCUCGUCUUCGGAACCGAGGCGGCGGCCGAGGGCAACGGCAGUAUGAGGACAAUGGCCCGCCCCGAAAUGAUUCCCGGGGCGGCGGCAGAAGUCCGCGGCAGUUUGAGCAGAACUCGUACAGCAACGGGCCGCGAAGAGGCGGACAUCGCCACUGGGAGGAGGACUUGUUCAGAGACGGUUUCCGAGGCGGCGGCAGGGGACAGGGACGUUGGGAGAACAACGCGUCUUUCGGAGCCAACUCGCGAGGGCGAGGCAGGGGUCCACCUCCCGAUCUGGGUGACACUCCAUUCAGAGGAUCGAUGGAGUUUCGGCGCGGCGGUCGUAGACCGAUCACCCGGUACGGCGGUGGCGGCAGUUAGCGACCGGGGUCAGGCCGCUGUCCCACCCCCUGCCGAGGCUCCGCUCGCCCGCCUGUCACUGCCGCCCGCUCUGGCCACCUGGUGCCGGCCGGAGGUCGGGCCGCUUUACUACACGGCUGUUAUUGAAAUACACUAAUGUGAGUGCUCACA